rnacentral:rRNA from 1 species
AGAGCGAACGCUGGCGGCAGGCCUAACACAUGCAAGUCGAGCGCCCGUAGCAAUACGGGAGCGGCAGACGGGAUAGUAACACGUGGGAACGCGCCCUUCGGUUCGGAAUAACUCAGGGAAACUUGAGCUAAUACCGAAUACGCCCUUACGGGGAAAGAUUUAUUGCCGAAGGAACGGCCCGCGUCCGAUUAGCUAGUUGGUGAGGUAAUGGCUCACCAAGGCUACGAUCGGUAGCUGGUCUGAGAGGAUGACCAGCAUCACUGGGACUCGAGACACGGCCCAGACUCCUACGGGAGGCAGCAGUGGGGAAUAUUGGACAAUGGGCGCAAGCCUGAUCCAGCCAUGCCGCGUGGAUGAUGAAGGCCUUAGGGUUGUAAAGUCCUUUUAACGGGGAGAUAAUGACGGUACCCGUAGAAUAAGCCCGGCUAACUUCGCGCCAGCAGCCGC